GUGGGGAAUCUUGCGCAAUGGGCGAAAGCCUGACGCAGCCAUGCCGCGUGAAUGAUGAAGGUCUUAGGAUUGUAAAAUUCUUUCACCGGGUACGAUAAUGACGGUACCCGGAGAAGAAGCUCCGGCUAACUUCGUGCCAGCAGCCGCGGUAAUACGAAGGGGGCUAGCGUUGCUCGGAAUUACUGGGCGUAAAGGGCGCGUAGGCGGACAGCUUAGUCAGAGGUGAAAGCCCAGGGCUCAACCUUGGAAUUGCCUUUGAUACUGGCUGUCUUGAGUUUGGGAGAGGUGAGUGGAACUCCUGGUGUAGAAGUGAAAUUCGUAGAUAUUCGGAAGAACACCAGUGGCGAAGGCGACUCACUGGCCCAAUACUGACGCUGAGGCGCGAAAGCGUGGGGAGCAAACAGGAUUAGAAACCCCGGUAGUCC
rnacentral:rRNA from 1 species